UUCUGAAUCUGUGUGCUGUUCGUUCGAGUGCAAGGCUCCCCUGGGAUCUCAAGGCCCUGCUGGUGCAGGAGGGGGCGCGGACCGUAUUCCAUGGGUGCAGCGUUAUGGAACAUUGAGAUAGAAAUACAGUGGGCAAAAACCGCCCGGGCAACGAAGGAGUGGCUUCGUAAGAAGCAUUUCAAGGUCCUGGAGUGGCCUAGCCAG